GUUCAGUAUCAGGAGACAAAGAAACAGAAGUCUUGCCUUCAGCAUACACUCAUGGAAAUACAGCUCAACCAAUGAAGACAGUGGGCCCUGAGGCUGUCCUUUUUAUUGGUUGGAAAAGAAAGGUGUGUUUUCAUCUUACAUAGUAAUUCAGAGAUUGGAAGAGGACCUAGAAUUCAAAGCUAAUUCUCUGUGUUUCCGACUAAAAUAAGAUGGGCGAUUAUUCUUUCAUUGGAUGGAAUGGUCAACUUGAUAAUGUUGGAAGAUCUGCUGGACUGAAUUGGAAGACCCCAGAAGCCCUAGAAGA